rnacentral:lncRNA from 1 species
CCGGAAACAAAUCCUUUCUUUAAGUUUCACUUUCUGUUGACUGUAAACGGUAAGUAGGCAAUUUAUGUACUGAAAGACCGAAAAUAUGAGAAGAAACGUGUUUACGUAUUAACAGCUACCUGCUAACUGUUGCCACGUUACAUUUAAUGAAGUGACAUCAUGAGUAUUUUGAAGGAAAUUCAGUCAUACAGCAAGGAAGCAGCCAAUGUUCUGUAUUGGGCAGGACUUCAAAGUGACUCAGAUCUCCGGUCUUUGACUCGAGAGGACCUGAAUGAGCUAUUACCUGGACCUAAGAUGUUCAAGCAUAGAAGGAUGAUCUUUGCUACAAUAAACAGUCAUAAUACACAAAAGCAAGUAAACAAACUCCUCAAGGAACUGCAGGGUUUUAUCCCACAUGACUCUUUAAGAGCUGCUCUAACUGACAAUGGGGUCUUGGUUGACUACCUCCAUGUCCUGAAGGACAUGAAGAAACAAAUGAAUGACGUGCAGACUUUCCUUGAUGCUCAUAUUAGUCUGCUGGAGGACAUCAGAAAGCCUCAGCCUGAGCCUCAACCUGACAGAGGUGCUUGUUCGGCUAGAAAUCCUCCAGCCAGCCAGGACUUGGCGAAACCACACAAUGAACUCAUAGAUUGGCGUCUAUGUGAAGAACAGAGCAGAGGUCAGCAUCAAUCUGGCUUGGCUGUACCAGCGGGGUCAAUGACGGGCAUAAAAAGGCAAACUGACAACUGUGCACAGAGAAUCGCACCGAAAUAUUGUGUCAUGCCGGCUCCACUGUACUAUAAUGAAGUGAUCUACAAGCCGGUUGUCUGUGGUAAAACCUUCAAUGCCGACAAACAGCUGAUGGACUCCAUGCGCAGUCAAGUUCAGGAUCUGGUUCGGAUCACUGAAUGGAAUCCAGAUUUGCCAGAUCACCAAGUCAACAUUAUCUUCUGCCCAGUCUCUUCACGUGUUGGGACAGAUGCUGCAGAAGCCCUGACUUAUGCAACAGAUAAUAAACCUGUCAUCCUGGUGCUGAUGCACCACGCACAUCAACCAAAGCCUGUAUCAUCUUUGGGAACAUCUGCUGCUUCUGACAAUGUUGUCUUGUACGUCAGUGUUUUCUAUCAUGAAGCAAAGAGUGGUUUACUGAAAUGUAAAGACAAUGAUGACGCUGUCUCACAGAUACAAAACAAACUGAAAGAAUACAUGACCCAAAAAGCUAACACUGUCAAUACCCAGGAUGAGAUUGCUGAAAGUCAGGAGACUGGUGGUAUUUCUGGUGAUGACAAUGUCAGGGCCUCUCCCACAGACAGUGGAAGCAGAGGUUUUUCAAGGUUUCUUCCUUCCUUUAGGGGCAGCUAUUGGUCAGAUAAUUAGAGGCAACAGUGUCGGUGGUGGUAUGAUUUCAGUUUACAUCAUGAAACAAUAAUUUCUACAACAAAAAUAAAGUAUUAAGAGAGAUUUAUUCUGACCA